UAGGGAAUCUUCCGCAAUGGACGCAAGUCUGACGGAGCAACGCCGCGUGAGUGAAGAAGGAUUUCGGUUCGUAAAACUCUGUUGUUAGAGAAGAACAGCGCAUAGAGUAACUGUUAUGCGUGUGACGGUAUCUAACCAGAAAGCCACGGCUAACUACGUGCCAGCAGCCGCGGUAAUACGUAGGUGGCAAGCGUUGUCCGGAUUUAUUGGGCGUAAAGCGAGCGCAGGCGGUCAAUUAAGUCUGAUGUGAAAGCCCCCGGCUCAACCGGGGAGGGUCAUUGGAAACUGGUUGACUUGAGUGCAGAAGAGGAGGGUGGAAUUCCAUGUGUAACGGUGAAAUGCGUAGAUAUAUGGAGGACCACCAGUGGCGAAGGCGACUCUCUGGUCUGUAACUGACGCUGAGGCUCGAAAGCGUGGGUAGCAAACAGG
rnacentral:rRNA from 1 species